AACGAACGCUGGCGGCAGGCCUAACACAUGCAAGUCGAGCGAAGCCUUCGGGCUUAGCGGCGGACGGGUGAGUAACGCGUGGGAACGUGCCCUUUGGUACGGAAUAGCCCCGGGAAACUGGGAGUAAUACCGUAUGUGGUCGAGAGACGAAAGAUUUAUCGCCAAAGGAUCGGCCCGCGUUGGAUUAGGUAGUUGGUGGGGUAAUGGCCUACCAAGCCGACGAUCCGUAGCUGGUUUGAGAGGAUGAUCAGCCACACUGGGACUGAGACACGGCCCAGACUCCUACGGGAGGCAGCAGUGGGGAAUCUUAGACAAUGGGGGAAACCCUGAUCUAGCCAUGCCGCGUGAUCGAUGAAGGCCUUAGGGUUGUAAAGAUCUUUCAGUGGGGAAGAUAAUGACUGUACCCACAGAAGAAGCCCCGGCUAACUCCGUGCCAGCCGCCGCCGUAAGAC
rnacentral:rRNA from 1 species